rnacentral:rRNA from 1 species
GACGAACGCUGGCGGCGUGCUUAACACAUGCAAGUCGAACGGAAAGGCCCUGCUUUUGUGGGGUGCUCGAGUGGCGAACGGGUGAGUAACACGUGAGUAACCUGCCCUUGACUUUGGGAUAACUUCAGGAAACUGGGGCUAAUACCGGAUAGGAGCUCCUGCUGCAUGGUGGGGGUUGGAAAGUUUCGGCGGUUGGGGAUGGACACGCGGCUUAUCAGCUUGUUGGUGGGGUAGUGGCCUACCAAGGCUUUGACGGGUAGCCGGCCUGAGCGGGUGACCGGCCACAUUGGGACUGAGAUACGGCCCAGACUCCUACGAGGGGCAGCAGUGGGGAAUAUUGCACAAUGAGCGGAAGCCUGAUGCAGCAGCGCCGCGUGCGGGAUGACGGCCUUCGGGGUGUAAACCGCUUUCGCCUGUGACGAAGCGUGAGUGACGGUAAUGGGUAAAUAAGCACCGGCUAACUACGUG